rnacentral:rRNA from 1 species
GAUGAACGCUGGCGGCGUGCCUAAUACAUGCAAGUCGAGCGAACAGACGAGGAGCUUGCUCCUCUGACGUUAGCGGCGGACGGGUGAGUAACACGUGGAUAACCUACCUAUAAGACUGGGAUAACUUCGGGAAACCGGAGCUAAUACCGGAUAAUAUAUUGAACCGCAUGGUUCAAUAGUGAAAGACGGUUUUGCUGUCACUUAUAGAUGGAUCCGCGCCGCAUUAGCUAGUUGGUAAGGUAACGGCUUACCAAGGCGACGAUGCGUAGCCGACCUGAGAGCGUGAUCGGCCACACUGGAACUGAGACACGGUCCAGACUCCUACGGGAGGCAGCAGUAGGGAAUCUUCCGCAAUGGGCGAAAGCCUGACGGAGCAACGCCGCGUGAGUGAUGAAGGUCUUCGGAUCGUAAAACUCUGUUAUUAGGGAAGAACAAAUGUGUAAGUAACUAUGCACGUCUUGACGGUACCUAAUCAGAAAGCCAGGGCUAGGUACGUG